ensembl:lncRNA
CUGGCGCUGCCGCUGCCACUUCCCUGCCAGCCGGGGAUGUUGCCAGCAGUGGGCAGGGGCAUUGGGGGGAGGCAUACCCGGCUUCAUCCCGCCGGGUAGGAGCUGGAGGAGGGGUAACUGCCUCUCCCCGGGUGGGAGAUGACCCACAGUUGUGUACAGCCCCUCAGGUGUUAGCUGAACCACAAUUGGGGGCACCUCCUGAGGUGGGAGCUGGCCCACAGUGGGGGGAACCCCCUGAGGUGGGAGCGGGCCCAGAGUUGGGGGUACCCCCUGAAUUGGGAGGUGACCCACUGUUGGGGAUACCCCCUGAGGUGGGAGCGGGCCCACAGCUUGGGGCAUUGCCCCAGCUGGCAGCUGAAGCACAGUUGGGGGCAUUGCCCCAGGUGGUGGGAGCUGAGCCACCGUGGAGGGCAGCCCCUGAGGUGGGAUCAGAGCCACCAGUGGGGCUACCCCCUGAGGUGGGAGUGGGCCCACAGUUUGGGGUACCCCCUGAGGUGGGAGCUGACCCCCAGUAUAGGGCAUUGCCCCAAGGGGCAGCUCAACCAUAGUUUGGGGCAUUGCCCCAGGUGGCAGCUGAGCCACAACUGGGGGUGUUGCCCCAGCUGGCAGUUGAAGCACAGUUUGAGGCAUCGCCCCAGGUGGCAGCUGCGCUCCCUGUCCCUGCACACCCGGUACCCCCGGCUGGACAGAGGCCUGAGGCACCAUGGAGGUGACAUUGGGGGCAGGGAUGGGCUGGAAGGAUACGGGCACUGCUCCGCCAACGGUGGUCUGCAUCGCAGCAGUGGCCGGUGGGGGCACAAAGGCUCCAAAUAAAGUUGCGUCGGGUGUCGGAAGCACCGUCAGCAAUGAAGGAAUUCUCUCUGUGGGGAAAUGCCCAAAUGGGCGCCGGGGUGAGAUGUGGGGCACUGGGACCCCCUGGAGGGCCGCAGUGCCAGGAGCAGGAGGAGCCUGCUGCCUUACCUGCCGUGGCAGCUCGAGAGUGGCAGUGGGGGGUUCCGUGAGCGCUGGGGUCAGCCCCUCUGCCCUGAGCUCACAGUGCCCCUCUGUGACGCUGUCCCGUGGUGUCACAGGCACUGCUCUGUGCCUGCCAUGUCAUCAACUUGCUGCGGCUGUAAUCAUGCUGGUGACAGCAUGGGACGAGUGUGGGGAGCUAUGGCCUCUGCCCUUCUCAUACUCCUCCUCCUGAUGGCCACAACUUGCUCUAAGUUCGCUGCUGCUCCGUGGCGAGCACCAGGAGCAGGUGGGUGAGCAAAACGGAGCGGCACGGGGGGCACGAAGUCACUGCAAGGACAGAGCCUUUGGGGCUCCCCCUCCCGUUCUCUUUUCUUCCCCUCUCCAUCCCCUCCCGUUCUCUUCCCCUCCCCGUCUCCAGACAGUACCACACACGGACUGUUGUGUAUCAGCACGGUGCCACUGCAGGCGCCGCAGUCCACUCCUGGCCAAGCGCUGGUUCCAUCCGCUGUGGCUGUCCAGGUUUGUGCUGCAGCAAUAAAGAAUGUUAAGAUAGAACUGUGUUGGCCGUGUCCCAUUGGGGUGCGUUGUCCCAGAACACAUCCAAGAGUCGCCUGUUUAGAGAGGAGACCUUGCUUUGUCUGCGCUGCGCAGGACACAGGGUGGGAAAUCCCUCCAACGAG